rnacentral:misc_RNA from 1 species
GAUGAAGAACGUAGCGAAAUGAGAUAAGUAAUGUGAAUUGCAGAAUUCAGUGAAUCAUCGAAUCUUUGAACGCACAUUGCGCCCGUCAGUAUUCUGGCGGGCAUGCCUGUUCGAGCGUCAUUACGCCCCUCAAGUCCCCUGUGGACUUGGUGUUGGGGAUCGGCGAGGCUGGUUUUCCAGCACAGCCGUCCCUUAAAUUAAUUGGCGGUCUCGCCGUGGCCCUCCUCUGCGCAGUAGUAAAACACUCGCAACAGGAGCCCGGCGCGGUCCACUGCCGUAAAACCCCCCAACUUUUUAUAGUUGACCUCGAAUCAGGUAGGACUACCCGCUGAACUUAAGCAUAUCAAUAAGCGGAGGA